AAAUGGACUAGGCCGGGCAGCUAGGCCCUGCUCGUAAACCCGCACUCAGGUCUUCAGCGGGGGCCGAAACCCAGUGGCGUCCGGUCGGAACUGAUCGGGUCCUGGGAGCCAACAUAGAAGCCUCGUCCAUCGGGGGCGACGGACCACGGUGACCAUCUGCAGGGAUGUCUCAUCGUGGUUAACCGGCGGUAAUCCAUCAGGCGCGGAAGCGAGCAGUGGACUGCCGGACAGUUGUCGCUCGAUGGGUAGCGGGGUGGAGGAGGCAACCGGGUUUCCCCGAUCAAGGAUGACUGGGCAAUUCUGGGAGUCCUUUU
rnacentral:SRP_RNA from 1 species